rnacentral:rRNA from 1 species
GUCGAGGGGCAGCGGAGGCGAGUGCUUGCACUUGCCAGACGGCGACCGGCGCACGGGUGAGUAACACGUAUGCGACCUGCCCGUAGCAGGGGGAUAAGCGGAAGAAAUUCCGUCUAAUACCGCGUAAUAUCUUUCGGGGGCAUCCCUGAGGGAUUAAAGGAAGCGAUUCCGGCUACGGAUGGGCAUGCGGCGCAUUAGCUAGUCGGCGGGGUAACGGCCCACCGAGGCGACGAUGCGUAGGGGUUCUGAGAGGAAGGUCCCCCACACUGGUACUGAGACACGAACCACAUUUAAACGGGAGGCAGCAGUGAGGAAUAUUGGUCACUGGGCGAGAGCCUGAACCAGCCAAGUCGCGUGAGGGAUGACGGCCCUAUGGGUUGUAAACCUCUUUUGCCGGGGAGCAAAGUGCCGCACGUGUGCGGUUUGGAGAGUACCCGGAGAAAAAGCAUCGGCUAACUCCGUGCCAGCAGCCGCGGUAAUACGGAGGAUGCGAGCGUUAUCCGGAUUUAUUGGGUUUAAAGGGUGCGUACGCGGACGCUUAAGUCAGCGGUAAAAUUGCGGGG